rnacentral:piRNA from 1 species
UCCCAGCUAGCAGGAGUCAAA